rnacentral:rRNA from 1 species
GCUUGGUGGAUCAGUGGCGAACGGGUGAGUAACACGUGAGCAACCUGCCCUGAACUCUGGGAUAAGCGCUGGAAACGGCGUCUAAUACUGGAUAUGAGCUGCGGAGGCAUCUUCGUGGUUGGAAAGAUUUUUCGGUUUGGGAUGGGCUCGCGGCCUAUCAGCUUGUUGGUGAGGUAAUGGCUCACCAAGGCGUCGACGGGUAGCCGGCCUGAGAGGGUGACCGGCCACACUGGGACUGAGACACGGCCCAGACUCCUACGGGAGGCAGCAGUGGGGAAUAUUGCACAAUGGGCGGAAGCCUGAUGCAGCAACGCCGCGUGAGGGAUGACGGCCUUCGGGUUGUAAACCUCUUUUAGCAGGGAAGAAGCGAAAGUGACGGUACCUGCAGAAAAAGCGCCGGCUAACUACGUGCCAGCAGCCGCGGUAAUACGUAGGGCGCAAGCGUUAUCCGGAAUUAUUGGGCGUAAAGAGCUCGUAGGCGGUUUGUCGCGUCUGCUGUGAAAACCCGAGGCUCAACCCCGAGCCUGCAGUGGGUACGGGCAGACUAGAGUGCGGUAGGGGAGAUUGGAAUUCCUGGUGUAGCGGUGGAAUGCGCAGAUAUCAGGAGGAACACCGAUGGCGAAGGCAGAUCUCUGGGCCGUAACUGACGCUGAGGAGCGAAAGGGUGGGGAGCAAACAGGCUUAGAUACCCUGGUAGUCCACCCCGUAAACGUUGGGAACUAGUUGUGGGGUCCAUUCCACGGAUUCCGUGACGCAGCUAACGCAUUAAGUUCCCCGCCUGGGGAGUACGGCCGCAAGGCUAAAACUCAAAGGAAUUGACGGGGACCCGCACAAGCGGCGGAGCAUGCGGAUUAAUUCGAUGCAACGCGAAGAACCUUACCAAGGCUUGACAUACACGAGAACGCUGCAGAAAUGUAGAACUCUUUGGACACUCGUGAACAGGUGGUGCAUGGUUGUCGUCAGCUCGUGUCGUGAGAUGUUGGGUUAAGUCCCGCAACGAGCGCAACCCUCGUUCUAUGUUGCCAGCACGUAAUGGUGGGAACUCAUGGGAUACUGCCGGGGUCAACUCGGAGGAAGGUGGGGAUGACGUCAAAUCAUCAUGCCCCUUAUGUCUUGGGCUUCACGCAUGCUACAAUGGCCGGUACAAAGGGCUGCAAUACCGCGAGGUGGAGCGAAUCCCAAAAAGCCGGUCCCAGUUCGGAUUGAGGUCUGCAACUCGACCUCAUGAAGUCGGAGUCGCUAGUAAUCGCAGAUCAGCAACGCUGCGGUGAAUACGUUCCCGGGUCUUGUACACACCGCCCGUCAAGUCAUGAAAGUCGGUAACACC